GCAGUGGUGGUUCUGUGGUAGAAUUCUCGCCUUCUGUGCGGGAGACCCUGGUUCGAUUCCCGGCCUGUGCG
rnacentral:tRNA from 1 species